AUACGGAGGGUGCAAGCGUUAUUCGGAAUCACUGGGCGUAAAGGACGCGUAGGCGGGUUGGCAAGUCAGAUGUGAAAUCCUACAGCUUAACUGUAGAACUGCAUUUGAAACUGCUAACCUAGAGUAUGGGAGGGGGAGAUGGAAUUAGUGGUGUAGAGGUAAAAUCCGUAGAUAUCACUAGGAAUACCGAAAGCGAAGGCGAUCUCCUGGAACAUAACUGACGCUAAGGCGUGAAAGCGUGGGGAGCAAACAGGAUUAGAAACCCUAGUAGUCC
rnacentral:rRNA from 1 species